UGUGUGUCGUUCUAAACUAGAUCUUAUGAAUUGUAAAUGUUUUUUCGUCUUAUCUAAAAGAGCUGGUAUGUAAAAUAGUUAUCCCACUCGGACUUGGUGUGUCAGUGUUUUCACCCUCUGGACUCCGGUCAUCGGGGUGAUCUUACACUGACACACCGCGUCCUUGUGGGAUAACUAUUAACUAAACAAAUCAAAUAGAGCGUAACAAACAGUAUAGGCUAUUUUUUUUCAAGUUCACCGACCGAAACCGGAUUUUAGAUUCAACAGUAAUUUUCCCUUUGCACGACUGGACCGGUACACUGAUCUCCAAGAUGUCGGACAGUCUACUUAGCUUUGACAAUCCUGUAUUUGCCAACUUUGCCUAUUACUCCGGUAUUGUAAUUUGUAAAACAAUGUUAAUGAGUGGACUUACAGCUAUAAAUAGAUUUCGUUACACGG
rnacentral:lncRNA from 1 species